rnacentral:lncRNA from 1 species
UCAAUAUUUUAACACCAGAUUAAAUAUUAAUAAACUCUGGUUGUAUCUAGUCUAAUUUCACCAUCUCAUCAAUACAACAUCAUUUUUACUCAUAAUGUUUACAUCCUUAGGUUGUAGGUCGGAGAUCAAGUCUCCACUCUCCGGGGAUAUAACGGCGAUCCGAAUUGAUUUACUCAGCUGAGGAUCUCUAACCACACGACAUAUGUUUCUCGUAACUCUUGCUUAUGUCUAUCAUUCCCACGGAUCCUCCACUGCAUGAACAGGUCCGCGCUACCCGGGAGCACACCACCCUUUUUAGGCGGUCCUUUGCUAGGAGGGUACGUGCCACUCUCGCCAUCUCUCCACUCCUAGUGCGCGAUUGUCUUUUCAUGUAUGGAAUAGCCGGGUUCAAGCUUACCCUGUCCCAUAUCCAGGGCAUGUGGCCAGUUAAGAUAGUCCUUGAUCAUACAGGCCUACAUACGCAUCCGAUCCUUAAUUAACAUUGGUAGAACAUCACCUGUUCCUAGCCCAAGUCCCGAUUUAAGUACUUCAACCUUAGGAUUGUUUGUGUUCCUUAGGAUGAAAAGAGCAUUAUAGGGAACUUUGCAGUAAGAUCCCACCAUGCUCCCAAUGAAAAUAUUCUUGCAAGUAGAAGUCGUCCUUCCUCAGGAUAACCCCUGAGCUAGGCAUUAAUGCAAAAGACAACCUCUAUCCACAAGAUCUAAGCAGGGCUAAGCAUUUUUUGUAAAUCAUAUUUUGAUACUUCAUCAGAAGUAUCUAUAAAGGUAUGGAUAUCAAGGUAGGCAAUGCAUCCAAUAGUUUCCAAGCAACUCCUAUAAACUUAAUGUACAUUUCACUAGACUUAAAGUGUAUAAAAAUCUUUUAAAAACACAAGGAAGGGGUUGCAUGCACCGGGGCUUGUCUUAUUGCAGGAGAAGAUCCAAAGUCCUUCUAUCACAAUAACCAGUUAGAUGGAACCAACCACUGGAUCUACAGCACUGGAGCAGACUCCUCUUCAGGAACCACUUCUUGAAUUUCAACUUACUUUUAUGGGAGCUCUACAUGAAAUGAUAUGAAUAUGAAUGCUUAUGCUUUUGUAAUUUGCAACGAAGAUAGCAAAACAACUCUCUAGACUAUACCAAAAUCUAUGGUCUUUUAUGUAAACUUGUUUCUUCACCAACUAAUUCCUUUCAUCCACUAACCGCACCACUACGAUUCACACGCACAUCACAAAGCCCAAGUUGAUGGUGUGAACCACAAGCCUAUAAACAGUCGCGAACAAUCUUUCCUGGGACAUAAAACUAUGCUACCGAUUAAUCCAAACACACACGCAACCAUGCCAGUAGAGAUCAAACAACCAGUUUAAUGAGUUUCACCCGUAAGUAUAGAUACUAGAACACUACACAGAAACCGUGGAAUCGUACCAUGUUAUCCCAACUAUGGGAGGGCAGGAACAACCCCGGGCAUGGUCACCACAGCCAGUGGCAAGUAUGUUUCCAACAAAACCAAGGGUACUAGAUGGCAGAGAGGUGUUAGGGGGGUGACGUGGGUGUAGAUGAGUAGCAAGGCACAUAGGGGAAACCAGGAAAUCGUCGAGAGCACAAGCAAUUCAGUUUGGGCUCCAAACUAGCAUAACAAGAGGUGGCUUGAUGGAGGUCGAGCUGGGGCUAUUUCAGAGGGGAAAUGAGAAUUAACAAUCCCCAACACACACCUGCAUGUCUACCACGCAAGGUGGAAGCACAAGAAAAAAGUCCAGCACACCUUUACUGCAUGUAUGACACCUCAUGAACAGUGAAGCAGCUGAAUCAUCCAAGAGAUAGGCUUUACACCCUUCCUGCAUCUAUCCUUGGGGUGGUGAAUUUUUGACAAUAAACUUUCCUCUCUCAUAAGUCUCUUUUGGGCUAGCAUAUCCUAGAAUUCCCUAUAUCAAUUUGGUGGAUGGAGAUACUUUCAUCAGAUUAUUCUAAAGCUGCUCCUGUUGUUCUACUCGACUGAAACCUCAAGUUCAGCUCCCCUUUUUAUUACCUCAAAUAACCAGCAAAGAAACUUUAAUGCCCCCAACACACAAAUAUCACUUGGUCCAAAUCUGCAGGUAGUAGAUAUCUGCAGAUAGUAGACAAAACAGAUAUGAUCUCUUCUGUCCACAUCUCCCAAACAGUCCAGAACUAGAUAUUUUGCAGCAGAGCUGAAGUCACUAGAUCCUUGGUUUUGCACCCCACCCAUAUCCCAACUCGAGCACACCAGUGGAGCACAGGAAAGGGAGAAAAAUCUUCCUCAAUUUCCUAUCCCAAACACUGAAUCAACUUCCCUGACAUCAGUGUCCCAUUGCACAGCUCCCAGUUUGGUCUACUUUAUCUCACAAACUUCCUCAACAACGGCCCCUUCUUCCCUAAUAAAAAAUACUCUCCAAUCAUUGCUCUUCCACUUUGGUACAAUACCCCUAGGCUGAAACCACAUAGAACAAAAAUUAUGGGACACAAAAGUAGAGCAAAAACACUAAGAGGUUCAGUUUCGGCUGAAGUGAAAUAAUCCCCCAGACAGUCUGACAGAGGAAGUUUAGGUGCAUUUUACUCUAAAGUUUGUUAAGCACCAAGUCAGACCCACAUAACAAAACUUGUACUUCUUUACUUGGUCUCCAUCCUUGUUACAUAGUUCUUAGCCUAACACCUGGUGGAAUGGUCACGAAAGUGUUCCCAAACUGACACCAAACUGUGCAACUUCAGUUUUCAGGCACUGAUUGAAAUUCAGUUUCUGUAACUGACAGUCCCAGUUUUAAGCAACUAUUACUCCACUUUUCAUGCAGUACAAAGUCAACCUUAUUUAAGAAAACUUGUUCACUAUUGUAUGGUCUUCCAUUUUACUAUAGAAACCAUAGUCCAUAACCCCAUAGAUUAGCCACAAGAAAGCUCCGAAGUUGAGCAAAACUCACUGAAAUUCAGUUUUAGAUAACUGAAUCAAGUCUGAAAUUAAAAUCUGACAGCAUGUUUUGGAACGCCAUUUUCUCCCUGUUCUAAGCAUAUUCAAGGGCAUGAUCCUUACCAAGGGUUACUUCCCCAACAUUUAUCUCCAAGUUUGCUACAGAAACUAGAGCCUAAAAGCACAUGGAUUGAUCACAGAACAAACAUAGUACGAUCGUGUACCUUGCUGAGUUGUCUUGGCCACGGCGAGAUGGCCAAACUGACCGGCGUGGUCACUACUGGCAGGCCGAUGGUGUGCCAACACUUGUGCAGAGCAAACCUAGUGGCUAGGAAGAGACUAGCAUCAACUGGAGCACAAGGACUUCCACACUUUUACACUGGUCUUGGGCUAGAAUCAGAAGGCCAGGUUGAUGAGGACAUCACUAUGAGUACGACUACACCAGCAGCACCUCCACAUCAAGCGCCACUUCCUUCAUUAGUUGGGCCAAUCACUCGGGCCCGUGCCAGAGAUCUUAACUUCGUCAUGCUACUGAAGAAUGAGGGCCCAGAAGAAUAGACGACCAGCCCAACUGCGGCCCAUAGUGGACAACCUAGGGUUGGCCGCCCCUAGGGGCUGCGCCCCCUCUCUCUAUUUAUCCAGGAGCUGCGCCUCCUUUGUUCUUCGAGUUUUGUUUUACAUCUAGCUUUAGCUACCCCAGAACACGCACAAAUACGUGUUGUCCUCUGUGAUUCAGAACUCCACCUCGAGUGAUAUUAAGAUUGCUCGCAUCUUUUUCUUGUUCGUUCUUCGAUUGCGCACAGGAAACGAUCUUCGUGAUCAGGCCGAUCUCGCAUUAGCAAGGUCGGUAACCAUUGGGAGUUGGUUCAGCGAUUGCAUUGGCGCUUCGGGUUCGCUCGUCGUAGUCGGAUCGUGAGGGUCUACUUGCACCAAAUCGGAAUUAUCUCCACUCACCGAAAGAUCGGGCACUCCAGCUCUAUUAAGUGGUAUCAGAUUUCCAGGUUGAUCGGUGAGUUUAUCGAGUGUUUUUUUUCUCCUACAGUCCACAAAACCACAUAAAAAUUUAGGUUAGACCUUAUCCUAGCACCCUUUUGAGCCUCGCACUUUCUUUCAAUAAUCUGCAUUGUUGAAUUUGUGUGCUUUCAUGUCAUUUGUUACUGGUUGCAUUGUGUUAUUACACCAUUCAAACCCUAGCGCGCCGCCACCAUAUUCCGUUUGAUCACGCCACAAACCGAGUCAACGCCGCUUCCUUAUUUUUCUCCUUCGGUUACGUAAAAAACAGAAAAAAAACAAACCGAGUCAACACCGUUUCCUUGUUUUUCUACUUCGGUUACGUAAAAAAACAGAAACAAAAAAAAGAAAACGAAGGAGAAAGAAUACAAAGCGGUUGUCUCAUCUCGAUCGUUUUAAGCAUACCUUCCUUAAACCGGGCAUAACUUUUCGCUCGAUUGUUCAAAAAAUCUGAAUUUUUUACAGGAGCUUGUUGACACCAUUCUGAGGCCGGCCAAACUGGCCUAUGGCCUGUUUGGUUUCGAUAAAAUUGUCAAAAAAUUCAGGAAAAUAAAGAAAAAAAUUCAUCAAAGUUCUCGCACGCUUUUCAGAGAACUUCCUGAUUUUCUGUAGACCACAUCUGAACUCUGUUUUAGGUGAAACUUCGUGUAGCUCCUAUUUUGUUGCUCCUUAUGCUGAGAAAAAUAUCAAAAAAUCAUACAAAAAAAAAGAAAAACAAAAUCACUUGUGAUUCCUACUAGUGCCUUUUUGGCCUCGCUAGUACAAUAUUUACGGUACUGCCAUUCUGCUAGUUCCAUCCAUCCUUUGCACUUGUGGCCAGCAAUAUAGUUUCGUGUUUUGCACUAUAAUUCAACUUUGCAUUAUUGUUUGAUCGUGCUAAUCCUUGACUUGAGUGCAGCCUACCCAAAACUCCACAUAUUUCUACGACGAGAAGGUUUCUGUUUCUCCAGGCAAUCGCUCAUCCAAUCUUUCACCGGUUCCACCUGUUGGUUGCAGUUCACCACUGUGGCUUGGUAAGAACGGAUAAGAACUUGAUAACAGCAUUCCAUUGAGCGAGUUGUCACCACCAUUUUCCUGUUGUCGUCGGUUUUUCUCCUUUUGGUGUUUUGGUGUUUGUGCUAACUAUGGCAGGAGCACACGACACGGUGGAUGCCCAGUUGCUGGAAGUAAGGGGACAAGUUGAUGGACUUGCUGCUGACAUUAGGACGAUGCAUGAACGGCUUGAUUCAACGGUCAAUUCGACGACCGAGCGUUUCAACCAGCUUGACCUUGCUCAAACGGCGACUCGCACCACACUCGACACCAUCCUGGCACGCCUUGAUGCGUUGACCACAAAGAUGGAGCAGGACUACGGCGGUGAUACUGAGCAGGACGAUGGAGAUCGCCGUGGUCGUGCACGCCGUGUGGUUCGUCAUCCCCCUAAUGACUUAUUUUCUAAGAUUAAAUUUAAAAUUCCACCUUUUAAUGGCAAAUAUGAUCCUACUGCAUAUCUUGAUUGGGAGUUAGAGGUUGAACAAAAAUUUUCAUGCCAUGAUAUUGCUGCACAUUCUCAGGUUAAAGCUGCUAUUAGUGAAUUUAAUGAUUUUGCUUUAAUUUGGUGGCGUGAGUAUAAAAUGAAACAUCCCACUGCCAUUCCAACCACUUGGGAUCAGUUAAAAGCUGUGAUGAGACAUCGAUUUGUGCCUUCGUAUUAUGCUCGUGAUUUGCUUAAUAAAAUGCAGUGUUUUCAGCAAGGUUCUCAAUCUAUUGAGGACUAUUUCCAGGAGUUACAAAAAGGUAUGAUUCGUUGUGGGAUAUUGGAGGACAACGACGCUGCUAUGGCACGUUUUCGUGGUGGUUUAAACCGCGAAAUCCAGGAUAUACUUGAUUAUAAGGAAUAUUAUGAUAUGACUACUUUAUUUGAAUAUGCUUGUAAAACUGAACGUGAAGUGCAGGGACGCCGCUCGAAGCCAUAUUCUAACCCUUUUGCAGGACGAAGCUCGACAUCCACCUCAGCACCAGUUCCCUCUGCGCCAUCCACGUCCACCACUACUCCACGCGAUAAGAUGACCAAACCAGCCAGCAUUGCCCCACCCACAGGUCGUACACGGGAUAUUCAGUGUCAUCGCUGUAGAGGAUUUGGCCAUGUGAUUCGAGACUGCCCAAACAAGCGCACUUUGCUCAUUCGUGACGAUGGUGAGUACUCUUCCGCUAGUGAUUCUAAAGAAAUUGAACAUGCACUACCUGCCACUAACCAUGCAGCUCAGGCGGAGGUACAUGUCAACCCGGGCGACGCUGAUAGGUAUGAAAGUCUUGUUGUGCAGCGUGUUCUUAGUACACAGGUCGCUUUGCCCGAGAAGAAUCAGCGACACACUCUGUUCCAUACAAAGGGUGUUGUGGAGGAGCGGUCAAUUCGCAUCAUUAUCGACAGCGGCAGUUGCAACAAUUUGGCGAGUACCAUGUUGGUCGAAAAGUUGUCGUUACCCACUCGUAAGCAUCCAAACCCAUAUCACAUUCAAUGGCUUAAUGAUGGUGGUAAAAUAAAAAUCACGCGUUUCGUGCGUGUUCCUUUCUCCAUGGGUGCUUAUUCUGAUUUUGUUGAUUGUGAUGUUAUUCCCAUGGAAGCAUGCUCUUUGUUACUUGGUCGACCUUGGUAAUAUGAUACUGAUAGCUUGCAUCAUGGUCGUUCGAAUCAUUAUUCUUUCAUUUUUAAGGGUCAGAAAAUAAUUAUACAUCCAAUGACACCUGAACAAAUUGUUAAAGAUGAUCUUGCCCGAGCUACUAUAACUACUAAACAACUUGAUCCAUCACCCUCUGUUUCUUCUGAAAUCAAGUUGAAGGCUCCUAUUUUACUUGCUACACGUGCUGAUUUUGAUGAUCUACACUGAUGAGAACAUCACUAUGAGUACGACUACACCAGCAGCACCUCCACGUCAAGCGCCACUUCCUUCAUUAGCUGGGCCAAUCACUCGGGCCCGUGCCAAAGAUCUUAACUUCGUCAUGCUACUGAAGAAUGAGGGCCCAGGAGAAUAGACGACCAGCCCAACUGCGGCCCAUAGUGGAUGACCUAGGGUUGGCCGCCCCUAGGGGCUGCGCCCCCUCUCUCUAUUUAUAUAGGAGCUACGCCUCCUUUGUUCUUCGAGUUUUGUUUUACAUCUAGCUUUAGCUACCCCAGAACACGCACAAAUACGUGUUGUCCUCUGUGAUUCAGAACUCCACCUCGAGUGAUAUUAAGAUUGCUCGCAUCUUUUUCUUGUUCGUUCUUCGAUUGCGCAUAGGAAACGAUCUUCGUGAUCAGGCCGAUCUCGCAUCAGCAAGGUCGGUAACCAUUGGAAGUUGGUUCAGCGAUUGCAUUGGCGCUUCGGGAUUGCUCGUCGUAGUCGGAUCGUGAGGGUCUACUUCCACCAAAUCGGAAUUAUCUCCACUCACCGAAAGAUCGGGCACUCCAGCUCUAUCAAGUGGUAUCAAAUUUCCAGGUUGAUCGGUGAGUUUAUCGAGUGUUUUUUUCUCCUACAGUCCACAAAACCACAUAAAAAUUCAGGUUAGACCUUAUACCAGCACCCUUUUGAGCCUCGCACCUUCUUUCAAUAAUCUGCAUUGUUGAAUUUGUGUGCUUUCGCGUCAUUUGUUGCUGGUCGCAUUGUGUUUUUUCUCACCAUCCUUCUUUCUUCCUUGUUUUUCUCCUUCGGUUACAUCAAACCCUAGCGUGCCGCAACCAUCUUCCUUGUUUUUCUCCUUCGGUUACAUCAAACCCUAGCGUGCCGCAACCAUCUUCCUUGUUUCUCUCCUUCGGUUACAUCAAACCGAGUCAACGCCACAAACCGAGUCAACACCGCUUCCUUAUUUUUCUCCUUCGGUUACGUAAAAAAACAAAAAAAACAAACCGAGUCAACGCCGCUUCCUUGUUUUUCUCCUUCGGUUACGUCAAAAAACAGAAACAAAAAAAAAGAAAACGAAGGAGAAAGGAUACAAAGCGGUUGUCUCAUCUCGGUCGUUUUAAACAUACCUUCCUUAAACCGGGCAUAACUUUUCGCUCGGUUGUUCAAAAAAUCUGAAAUUUUUACAGGAGCUUGUUGACACCAUUCUGAGGCCGGCCAAAUGUUUGGGUUUCGACAAAAUUGUCAAAAAUAUUCAGGAAAAUAAAGAAAAAAUUCGUCAAAGUUCUCGCACGCUUUUCAGACAACUUCCUGAUUUUCUGUAGACCACAUCUGAACUCUGUUUUAGGUGAAAUUUUGUGUAGCUCCUCGUUUGUUCCUCAUUGUGCUGAGAAAAAUAUCAAAAAAUCAUACAAAAAAGAAAAACAAAAUCACUUGUGAUUCCUACUAGUGCCUUUUUGGCCUCGCUAGUACAAUAUUUACGGUACUGCCAUUCUGCUAGUUCCAUCCGUCCUUUGCACUUGUGGCCAGCAAUAUAGUUUCGUGUUUUGCACUGUAAUUCAACUUUGCAUUAUUGUUUGAUCGUUCUAAUCCUUGACUUGAGUGCAGCCUACCCAAAACUCCACAUAUUUCUACGACGAGAAGGUUUCUGUUUCUCCAGGCAAUCGCUCAUCCAAUCUUUCACCGGUUCCACCUGUUGGUUGCAGUUCACCACUGUGGCUUGGUAAGAACGGAUAAGAAUUUGAUAACAGCAUUUCAUUGAGCGAGUUGUCACCACCAUUUCUCUGUUGUCGUCGGUUUUUCUCCUUUUGGUGUUUUGGUGUUUGCGCUAACUAUGGCAGGAGCACACGACACGGUGGAUGCCCAGUUGCUGGAAGUAAGGGGACAAGUUGAUUGACUUGCUGCUGACAUUAGGAUGAUGCAUGAACGGCUUGAUUCAACGGUCACUUCGACGACCGAGCGUUUCAACCAGCUUGACCUUGCUCAAACGGCGACUCGCACCACACUCGACACCAUCCUGGCACGCCUUGAUGCGUUGACCACAAAGAUGGAGCAGGACUACGGCGGUGACACUGAGCAGGACGAUGGAGAUCGUCGUGGUCGUGCACGCCGUGUGGUUCGUCAUCCCUCUAAUGACUUAUUUUCUAAGAUUAAAUUUAAAAUUCCACCUUUUAAUGGCAAAUAUGAUCCUGCUGCAUAUCUUGAUUGGGAGUUAGAGGUUGAACAAAAAUUUUCAUGCCAUGAUAUUGCUGCACAUUCUCAGGUUAAAGCUGCUAUUAGUGAAUUUACUGAUUUUGCUUUAAUUUGGUGGCGUGAGUAUAAAAUGAAACAUUCCACUGCCAUUCCAACCACUUGGGAUCAGUUGAAAGCUGCGAUGCGACAUCGAUUUGUGCCUUCAUAUUAUGCUCGUGAUUUGCUUAAUAAAAUGCAGCGUUUUCAGCAAGGUUCUCAAUCUGUUGAGGACUAUUUCCAGGAGUUACAAAAAGGUAUGAUUCGUUGUGGGAUAUUGGAGGACAACGACGCUGCUAUGGCACGUUUUCGUGGUGGUUUAAACCACGAAAUCCAGGAUAUACUUAAUUAUAAGGAAUAUUAUGAUAUGACUACUUUAUUUGAAUAUGCUUGCAAAGCUGAACGUGAAGUGCAGGGACGCCGCUCGAAGACAUAUUCUAACCCUUUUGCAGGACGAAACUCGACAUCCACCUCAACACCAGUUCCCCCUGCGCCAUCCACGUCCACCACUACUCCACGCGAGAAGACGACCAAACCAGCCAGCACUGCCCCACCCACAGGUCGUACACGGGAUAUUCAGUUUUAUCGUUGUAGAGGAUUUGGCCAUGUGAUUCGAGACUGCCCAAACAAGCGCACUUUGCUCAUUCGUGACGAUGGUGAGUACUCUUCCGCUAGUGAUUCUGAAGAAAUUGAACAUGCACUACUUGUCACUAACCAUGCAGCUCAGGCGGAGGUACAUGUCAACCCAGGCGACGCUGAUAGGUAUGAAAGUCUUGUUGUGCAGCGUGUUCUUAGUACACAGGUCGCUUUGCCCGAAAAGAAUCAGCGACACACUCUGUUCCAUACAAAGGGUGUUGUGCAGGAGCGGUCAAUCCGCAUCAUUAUCGACAGCGGCAGUUGCAACAAUUUGGCGAGUACCAUGUUGAUCGAAAAGUUGUCGUUACAAACUCGUAAGCAUCCAAACCCAUAUCACAUUCAAUGGCUUAAUGAUGGUGGUAAAAUAAAAAUCACGCGUUCCGUGCGUGUUCCUUUCUCCAUGGGUGCUUAUUCUGAUUUUGCCCGAGAAGCAUGCUCUUUGUUACUUGGUCGACCUUGGCAAUAUGAUACUGAUAGCUUGCAUCAUGGUGGUUCGAAUCAUUAUUCUUUCAUUUUUAAGGGUCAGAAAAUAAUUAUACAUCCAAUGAAACCUGAACAAAUUGCUAAAGAUGAUCUUGCCCGAGCUGCUAUAACUGCUAAACAACUUGAUCCAUCACCCUCUGUUCCUUCUAAAAUCAAGUUGAAGGCUCCUGUUUUACUUGCUACACGUGCUGAUUUUGAUCAUCUACACGGUGCUCAUUUGCCAUGCUAUGCACUUGUAUGCUCUAGUGUCCUCAUUUCACUUGAUGAUGCACCAUCUUUGGCUAUUCCCCCUAUGGUUGCUAACCUUUUGCAGGAGUACGCUGAUGUCUUUCCCAAAGACUUACCACCGGGUCUCCCACCGCUUCGUGGCAUUGAGCACCAGAUCGACCUCAUCCCCGGCGCACAGCUUCCGAACCGCGCACCGUACCGUACAAAUCCGGAUGAGACGAAGGAGAUUCAGCGCCAGGUACAGGCGUUGCUUGACAAGGGAUACAUUCGUGAAUCUCUUAGCCCUUGCUCUGUUCCUGUGUUACUUGUUCCCAAGAAAGAUGGGUCAUGGCGUAUGUGUGUAGACUGUCGUGCUAUUAAUAACAUCACUAUUCGUUAUCGAUAUCCUAUACCACGCCUUGAUGAUAUGCUAGAUGAGCUUAGUGGUGCCAUUAUUUUCACUAAGAUUGAUUUGCGUAGUGGUUACCACUAGAUUAGAAUGAAACUGGGUGAUGAAUGGAAAACGACUUUUAAAACGAAAUUUGGUUUAUAUGAAUGGUUGGUUAUGCCGUUUGGAUUGACUAAUGCUCCCAGCACUUUUAUGCGAGUGAUGAAUGAAGUUCUGAGGCCCUUCAUAGGAUUGUUUGUGGUUGUUUAUUUUGAUGAUAUCCUUAUUUACAGCAAAUCUAAGAAAGAGCAUUUGGAACAUUUAAGUGCUGUUUUUGAUGCAUUGCGUGCUGCCCAGUUAUUUGCUAACAUGGAAAAAUGCAUCUUUUGCACACGACGUGUCUCGUUUCUUGGUUAUGUUGUUACUCCACAGGGCAUUGAGGUGGAUAGCAGCAAGAUUGCUGCCAUUCGGGAGUGGCCUACACCGACGACGGUCACACAAAUUCGGAGCUUUCUUGGACUUGCCGGAUUCUACUGCAGAUUUGUUCGUGAUUUUAGCUCCAUUGCAGCGCCUCUACAUGAGCUUACAAAGAAAGAUGUGUCGUUUGCUUGGAGUGAUUCGCAGGAGGAAGCGUUCAGCACUUUGAAAGAUAAUUUAACCCAAGCUCCCCUAUUGCAAUUGCUUGAUUUUAAUAAAGUGUUUGAGCUUGAAUGCGAUGCUAGCUGUAUUGGGCUAGGUGCUGUUUUGUUACAAGAAGGAAAACUAGUUGCUUAUUUUAGUGAAAAAAUAAGCGGUGCUAGUCUGAAAUAUUCUACUUAUGAUAAGGAGGUUUACGCUUUAGUGCGCACUUUGCAUACAUGGCAGCACUAUCUUUGGCAUCGUGAGUUCAUAAUUCAUUCUGAUCAUGAGGCUUUAAAACAUAUUCGUACCCAAACAAAUCUGAACCGUCGUCAUGCUAAAUGGGUAGAAUUCAUUGAGUCUUUUCCUUACAUUAUUAAACACAAGAACGGAAAGGACAAUGUUAUUGCUGAUGCUUUGUCUCGUCGCUAUACCAUGUUGUCACAGUUAGAUUUUAAAAUCUUUGGUUUGCACACUGUGAAAGAUCAAUAUGUUGACGAUGCUGAUUUUAAAGAUGCUUUCGGCCAUUGUAUUAAUGGGAAACCAUGGGGCAAAUUUCACAUGCAGGAUGGGUUCCUGUUUCGCGCUAACAAGCUGUGUGUUCCAGCUAGCUCGGUUCGUCUUUUGUUGUUACAGGAAGCACAUGGAGGCGGUCUCAUGGGGCACUUUGGCGUCUACAAGACACAUGAGGUGUUGGCUGCCCACUUCUUUUGGCCUCGGAUGCGCGCUGAUGUUGAGAGCCUUGUUGUACGCUGCACUACUUGUCAGAAAGCUAAGUCACGGUUGAACAACCAUGGUUUGUAUAUGCCUUUGCCUGUUCCUACUUCCCCUUGGAUUGAUAUUUCGAUGGAUUUUGUUUUGGGAUUGCCUAGAACUAAGAAGGGGAGGGAUAGCAUAUUUGUGGUUGUUGAUCGAUUCUCCAAAAUGGCUCAUUUCAUACCUUGUCAUAAGACUGAUGAUGCUAGCAAUGUUGUUGAAUUGUUUUUUAGAGAGAUUAUUCGUUUGCACGGUAUUCCCAAUACAAUAGUCUCGGAUCGUGAUGCUAAGUUUCUCAAUCAUUUUUGGAGAUCUCUGUGGAAUAAAUUGGGAACUAAAUUGUUGUUUAGCACCACUUGUCACCCUCAGACUGAUGGUCAAACUGAGGUAGUUAAUCGAACUUUGUCUACCAUGCUUAGGGCUGUUUUAGACAAAAAUUUGAAACGUUGAGAGGAUUGCUUGCAUCAUGUUGAGUUUGCUUAUAAUCAUGCAACACAUUCUUCUACAAAGAUGUGCCCUUUUCAAAUUGUUUAUGGUUACUUUCCUAGGGCGCCUAUUGCUUUGUUUUCGCUUGAUGCUGCGGACGCCCCACACAUAGAUGUUGUUGCACAUGUUGAACAAAUGAUUAACCUCCAUGAACAAACUCAACAAAACAUUGCUGCUACUAAUGCAAAAUAUCAGGUUGCUAGUAGUAAAGGAAGAAAACUUGUUACUUUUGAGCCAGGUGAUAUGGUUUGGAUGCACUUGAGAAAGGAUCGGUUUCCUACUUUGCAACGUUCUAAAUUAAUGCCUCGUGCUGCUGGUCCUUUUAAGGUGCUAACAAAGAUUAAUGAUAAUGCUUAUAUCCUUGACCUGCCUGCGGAAUUUGGUGUUUCCACUAGUUUUAUUGUUGCAGAUUUGAAACCAUAUAUGGCCGAGGAUGAGGAAUUGCCGUCGAGGACGACUUCACUUCAAGAAGGGGAGGAUGAUGAGGACAUCACUAUGAGUACGACUACACCAGCAGCACCUCCACGUCAAGCGUCACUUCCUUCAUUAGCUGGGCCAAUCACUCGGGCCCGUGCCAGCUUUAGCUACCCCAGAACACACACAAAUACGUGUUGUCCUCUGUGAUUCAGAACUCCACCUCGAGUGAUAUUAAGAUUGCUCGCAUCUUUUUCUUUUUCGUUCUUCGAUUGCGCACAGGAAACGAUCUUCGUGAUCAGGCCGAUCUCGCAUCAGCAAGGUCGGUAACCAUUGGAAGUUGGUUCAGCGAUUGCAUUGGCGCUUCGGGAUCGCUCGUCGUACUCGGAUCGUGAGGGUCUACUUCCACCAAAUCGGAAUUAUCUCCACUCACCGAAAGAUCGGGCACUCCAGCUCUAUCAUACACGGUGCUCAUUUGCCAUGCUAUGCACUUGUAUGCUCUAGUGUCCUCAUUUCACUUGAUGAUGCACCAUCUUUGGCUAUUCCCCCUAUGGUUGCUAACCUUUUGCAGGAGUACGCUGAUGUCUUUCCCAAAGACUUACCACCGGGUCUCCCACCGCUUCGUGGCAUUGAGCACCAGAUCGACCUCAUCCCCGGCGCACAGCUUCCAAACCGCGCACCGUACCGUACAAAUCCGGAUGAGACGAAGGAGAUUCAGCGCCAGGUACAGGCGUUGCUUGAUAAGGGAUACAUUCGUGAGUCUCUUAGCCCUUGCUCUGUUCCUGUGUUACUUGUUCCCAAGAAAGAUGGGCCAUGGCGUAUGUGUGUAGACUGUCGUGCUAUUAAUAACAUCACUAUUCGUUAUCGAUAUCAUAUACCACGCCUUGAUGAUAUGCUAGAUGAGCUUAGUGGUGCCAUUAUUUUCACUAAGAUUGAUUUGCGUAGUGGUUACCACCAGAUUAGAAUGAAACUGGGUGAUGAAUGGAAAACAGCUUUUAAAACGAAAUUUGGUUUAUAUGAAUGGUUGGUUAUGUCGUUUGGAUUGACUAAUACUCCCAGCACUUUUAUGCAAGUGAUGAAUGAAGUUCUGAGGCCCUUCAUAGGAUUGUUUGUGGUUGUUUAUUUUGAUGAUAUCCUUAUUUACAGCAAAUCUAAGAAAGAGCAUUUGGAACAUUUAAGUGUUGUUUUUGAUGCAUUGCGUGGUGCCCAGUUAUUUGCUAACAUGAAAAAAUGCAUCUUUUGCACACGACGUGUCUCGUUUCUUGGUUAUGUUGUUACUCCACAGGGCAUUGAGGUGGAUAGCAGCAAGAUUGCUGCCAUUCGGGAGUGGCCUACACCGACGACGGUCACACAAAUUCGGAACUUUCUUGGACUUGCCGGUUUCUACCGCAGAUUUGUUCAUGAUUUUAGCUCCAUUGCAGCGCCUCUACAUGAGCUCACAAAGAAAGAUGUGUCGUUUGAUUGGCGUGAUUCGCAGGAGGUAGCGUUCAGCACUUUGAAAGAUAAGUUAACCCAAGCUCCCUUAUUGCAAUUGCCUGAUUUUAAUAAAGUGUUUGAGCUUGAAUGCGAUGCUAGCGGUAUUGGGCUAGGUGCUAUUUUGUUACAAGAAGGAAAACCAGUUGCUUAUUUUAGUGAAAAAUUAAGCGGUGCUAGUCUGAAAUACUCUACUUAUGAUAAGGAGCUUUACGCUUUAGUGCGCACUUUGCAUACAUGGCAGCACUAUCUUUGGCAUCGUGAGUUCAUAAUUCAUUCUGAUCAUGAGGCUUUAAAACAUAUUCGUACCCAAACAAAUCUGAACCGUCGUCAUGCUAAAUGGGUAGAAUUCAUUGAGUCUUUUCCUUACAUUAUUAAACACAAGAACAGGAAGGACAAUGUUAUUGCUGAUGCUUUGUCUCGUCGCUAUACCAUGCUGUCACAGUUAGAUUUUAAAAUCUUUGGUUUGCACACUGUGAAAUAUCAAUAUGUUUACGAUGCUGAUUUUAAAGAUGCUUUUGGCCAUUGUAUUAAUGGGAAACCAUGGGGCAAAUUUCACAUAGAGGAUGGGUUCCUGUUUCGCGCUAACAAGCUGUGUGUUCCAGCUAGCUCAGUUCGUCUUUUGUUGUUACAGGAUGCGCAUGGAGGCGGUCUCAUGGGGCACUUUGGCGUCUACAAGACACAUGAGGUGUUGGCUGCCCACUUCUUUUGGCCUCGGAUGCGCGCUGAUGUUGAGCGCCUUGUUGCACGCUGCACUACUUAUCAGAAAGCUAAGUCACGGUUGAACAACCAUGGUUUGUAUAUGCCUUUGCCUGUUCCUACUUCCCCUUGGAUUGAUAUUUCGAUGGAUUUUGUUUUGGGAUUGUCUAGAACUAAGAAGGGGAGGGAUAGCAUUUUUGUGGUUGUUGAUCGAUUCUCCAAAAUGGCUCAUUUCAUACCUUGUCAUAAGACUGAUGAUGCUAGCAAUGUUGCUGAAUUGUUUUUUAGAGAGAUUAUUCGUUUGCACAGUAUUCCCAAUACAAUAGUUUCGGAUCGUGAUGCUAAGUUUCUCAGUCAUUUUUGGAGAUCUCUGUGGAAUAAAUUGGGAACUAAAUUGCUGUUUAGCACCACUUGUCACCCUCAGACUGAUGGUCAAACUGAGAUAGUUAAUCGAACUUUGUCUACCAUGCUUAGGUCUGUUUUAGACAAAAAUUUGAAACGUUGGGAGGAUUGUUUGCCUCAUGUUGAGUUUGCUUAUAAUCAUGCAACACAUUCUUCUACAAAGAUGUGCCCUUUUCAAAUUGUUUAUGGUUACAUUCCUAGGGCGCCUAUUGCUUUGUUUUCGCUUGAUGCUGCGAACGCCCCACACAUAGAUGUUGUUGCACAUGUUGAACAAAUGAUUAACCUCCAUGAACAAACUCAACAAAACAUUGCUGCUACUAAUGCAAAAAAUCAGGUUGUUGGUAGUAAAGGAAGAAAACUUGUUACUUUUGAGCCAGGUGAUAUGGUUUGGUUGCACUUGAGAAAGGAUCGGUUUCAUACUUUGCGCCGUUCUAAAUUAAUGCCUCGUGUUGCUGGUCCUUUUAAGGUGCUAACAAAGAUUAAUGAUAAUGCUUAUAUCCUUGACCUGCCUACGGAAUUUGGUGUUUCCACUAGUUUUAAUGUUGCAGAUUUGAAACCAUAUAUGGCCGAGGAUGAGGAGUUGCCGUCGAGGACGACUUCACUUCAAGAAGGGGAGGAGGAUGAGGACAUCACUAUGAGUACGACUACAGCAGCAGCACCUCCACAUCAAGCGCCACUUCCUUCAUUAGCUGGGCCAAUCACUCGAGCCCGUGCCAGAGAUCUUAACUUCGUCAUGCUACUGAAGAAUGAGGGCCCAGAAGAAUAGACGACCAGCCCAACUGCGGUCCAUAGUGGACGACCUAGGGUUGGCCGCCCCUAGGGGCUGCGCCCCCUCUCUCUAUUUAUCCAGGAGUUGCGCCUCCUUUGUUCUUCGAGUUUUGUUUUACAUCUAGCUUUAGCUACCCCAGAACACGCACAAAUACGUGUUGUCCUCUGUGAUUCAGAACUCCACCUCGAGUGAUAUUAAGAUUGCUCGCAUCUUUUUCUUGUUCGUUUUUCGAUUAUGCACAGGAAACGAUCUUCGUGAUCAGGUCGAUCUCGCAUCAGCAAGGUCGGUAACCAUUGAGAGUUGGUUCAGCGAUUGCAUUGGCGCUUCGGGUUCGCUCGUCGUAGUCAGAUCGUGAGGGUCUACUUCCACCAAAUCGGAAUUAUCUCCACUCACCGAAAGAUCGGGCACUCCAGCUCUAUCACAGGUGAAUCCUUCACUGAACCAGAUUUCAGAGCCACCAUAUAUAUAGCAAACGUCCCUAGACAUGGCCAACAUGCAGUGAAGCAGUGUGUCCGAGAGCGCCAGCAACAUAUGGACUUCAACACGUGGCUAACAUGCUCUCAUACCCCACCAGUACACAACCUUGGUUAGGACACUGAACCUGGUCCAUUUUCUCAACACAAAUAUCAGUUGGGGAUAUGCUUUAAUAUGUCCAAGAACAGGAUAUUCUUUCCAGCUGAGGGUGGGUUCUAGACCUCAGUUAUACCCUCCACACUUAUCUCAACUAUACACAUACAUGUAUCUCUUUUGUCCCCUACUGCAGACAGCAGACCAACCAAUCAAUUCUCCACUAUUUACUGCUCCAAAAUAGUCCAAAUUAGAUAUUUUUGGUGGAGAGUAGCCUCAAAGUAUCAGUCAUGCACUUCCCCCAUAUGACAGCUUAAUAUGUCAGUGGAGCACAGCAAAGAAAAAGAUUCUUCUUUAGUUACACCUCCACACACUGAAUCACUUCAUCAACCUGCUGCCCCAUUUAAUUCCUCCCAGUUCAGACCCUCUGAUCUUUCAAUUUUUCAUAGCAACAGACCAUGCUCCCUUCACAAAAGUUGUUCUCUAUACAUAGUUCUACCAACUUGGUAUAGAAAUCACAGGUUGAAAAUAUUUAGAGCAAGAGUUAUUGCAAUCCAAAGUUAAGCAAAACACUCAAAAUUCAGUUUCGGAUUUAUUAAACAGCACAAUACUAGGUCUGACAGAGAGUUUUGUCACCCCUUUUUCUCUAGAUUACACACAGUAACAAGUCAAUCCUUUGCAUAAAAGUUGUUCCCCUUCAUAUGGACUUUGACUUUACUACAGAACUCGUAACCAAAAUCUCCAUAGAUUAAUUAUCAUAGAGAUCCAAACUGGGCAACUUGCUGCCAUUCAGGGUUCAGAACUGAAUUAAAAUUCAGUUAUUAACCAACCUGACAAUCCAAUCUUUGAGCAACUAUUUCUGCACUUUUUGUAUGGGAUCAGGUCCACCACCCUAUAAGAAAGUUGUUCGACUGGUCUUCACUUAUUCUACAAACACCACAGCACAAAACCUUAUAGAAUAGCCACAAAUAGGCUUCAAAACUGAUAUCAAAACACUGAAAUUCAGUUACUGUUUCCAAUCUGAAUAUUCAGAAACACAGCAGCACCACUUUGAACCACUCUUUUUCUUGGGUUCCAAUUGUUUCUAGGGGCAAGUUUCUUAAUAAAGUUUAUACUCCUAUAGUUCCUCUACAAGUUUUAUAUAAUGACCAAUAACAAAAGCCUCUUGGAUCCCAAACUACAAUAGCCCAAAGUUUGCUCCAAUUGCUGAAAUUCAGACUCUGUCUGAAAUCCCCACUUUCAGACAGCUCUACUUUAGGCCAGCUUUUAUCUAUGUUCCAAAUAGCUUUAGGGCUAAGUGUAUUAACAAAACUUAUACUCCUCAUGUAUCUCUAUAACUUUGUUAUAAUGAUCAUCUUCAAACAGUUUAUAGAUCAAAUGUUAUGAGGACCCAAAAACAACUAGUUGAUAUUAUUUUCAGCAAACUUCAAAUCUGAUUCAAAACUGAAUUAAACUUUUUACUCCAACUUUUCCUCUAAAACUUGGAAUUCUCCAUACAUAAAAGUUGUUCAACUUACCAAAAUCUACAACUUUGAUAUAUGGACAACUAGCAAAUUCUCUCUAGAUUUAAAACUCCACUUUUGGGCUAGUUGAGGGUUUCAAAUGUGACUCCUUCUCAUCUAGUGAUUUAUCAACUCAAUCCAUACUUCUAAAAGCCAAGUGACUCCCCUUAAUCUCAAAUCCAACUCUAGUAUAUGAAGCUCAUGUCCAAAGUGUCCUUGGUUUAGGAGUUGUUUUGUUUAUCCACAAUUCCAAGCAAGGUUUUGAAAUCUCACUUAAGGUUUUUAAUGUUAAUCCAGUUCCUCAAUUAAUUCUUCCACUCAACCCACCUUUGAAAGCAAAGUAUUACCUUUAAUACUUCAAAUUCCAAGCCAACUUAUUACUUGCUCAAGAGAUGACUUCUCUUCCCAUGUCUUAAGCAAAGUUCUUAAUCUGAGCCCUAUACUCUAAUAGGGCAACACCAUAUUCACUAAAAAAUUUUGACCUAGUGAAUGCAUUCUAGGUAUAUCAAACAAGAUAAUACAAAUGCUUAUGAUGACAUGUCAGAGUUUUAGUUAACGUAACACCAGGGGUGUUACAAAGAUCUACGUGGUUGGAAUAUUAAAUUAUGAAUUGAUUAUUGUACAUCCAAUGAGAAAAUAUACUCUAAAUAAUCAAUUCAACCUUAACCUAGAUUAUACUUGACUAGAGAUCAUGUUUUAACCACAUUAUGAUUAUGGUUGGGUUAGUUUUGAUUUAGCAGAGUUAAUCUAGUAGACAUAGGAUGAAUAAAUUUCUAACUAUAAAAUCAUGCAAUAUGAUAUAAUUAAUGUUGUUACUGCGUAGAUAAUAUUUUUAUGAAGCAAACGUAACUGGAACGGAUUAAAUCGGAGUUAAGACGCAGAAGAUAUGAUUUUUUCUAAGGUUUUCGGGUUUAUCUUAUAGUUAAAAAUCAAUUUCUUGAUUUAUUCCAAGAAUUACCAAUGUCUCUGGAUGGCGGGUACAAUUUUCUAGGAACGCAAGGGCCAAAGUGUUAAAAACAGGGCCUAAUUGCAAGGUUCUUAGAACUGCCUAGCACUGCGGGUUGUUUAGAGAAAAACUCGGGGGGUCUUUGGAGCAAAGAUGUCAGCCGAAGGGUAAUGAGCCAACUGGGGUCGCCCGAUGAAGGAUCAAGGGCCGAGAUUAUACAGCGAAUCGGUAUGCAACCGCGUCCGCCCGAUCCAUAUCUAACGAUCCAGAUCACUCUAGCCGAAGCGUUAGCCACCAUUUAAUCUGGGUCGCCAGCAGCCAGAUCAAUGGUCGGGAUCUAAACACCGAAGAGGUAUGCCCCGUUCUAAUCUCCACCGUUGACUCCCAGAUCUAUGGCCAGGAAUCAUCGCCUAAGCCUAGCCGUCGAUCUCCAUCCUAACGGACGUGACAUCGUCUUGUUCCUCCCAUCGCCCAGGUAUAGGGCUGCCCGCGCGCCACACACGCGUUCGUAUCCUCCCGACGAACCGCAUGGCUGCGCAAGCAAGGGAAUUAGUUACCCGCGGUACCGCGUGCGGCGCAGCUAAAACCUACGCCCCGAGGAAACACUGAUGAAUCACAGGGACGUUCUCUUACCGUUUUCGAGGCACCAGUGUAGUUGUCCACGGAGACUGGUGGCGCGCCGGAUCUCUUGACGUCGACAACGAGGCACCCGGUCUCCGACACAGUGACCCCGUGGGCGAGUCCUCGCGUAGUGCAAGGAUGCACCAUUGUCUGGCACUGCGUGAAGGUUGCGGACGAGCUCAAUUCUCACCCGCGAAUGGACCCACGUCCUUCUACCCUUGUUUCUCUCUCUUAAUGGCUGCAAUCCAAGCAGCGCACACCCGCCGCUUUUGCUCCAGGUCGACCGAGACGGCCAACAGUUAGGACCAUCCAAUUUAUGGGCAAGCAGAGC